GUGCUCACUUCAGCAGCACAUACACUAAAAUUGGAAUGAUACAGAGGUUAGCAGGCCCCUGCACAAGGAUGAUACACAAAUUCAUGGAGUGUCCCGUAUUUAA
ensembl:snRNA U6 U6 spliceosomal RNA